UACGUAGGGGGCAAGCGUUGUCCGGAAUUAUUGGGCGUAAAGAGCGCGCAGGCGGUCGUUCAAGUCGCGUGUGAAAGCCCCCGGCUCAACUGGGGAGGGUCACGCGAUACUGAUCGACUCGAAGGCAGGAGAGGGAAGUGGAAUUCCCGGUGUAGUGGUGAAAUGCGUAGAUAUCGGGAGGAACACCAGUGGCGAAGGCGACUUCCUGGCCUGUUCUUGACGCUGAGGCGCGAAAGCUAGGGGAGCAACGGGG
rnacentral:rRNA from 1 species